rnacentral:rRNA from 1 species
UACAGAGGGGGCAAGCGUUGUUCGGAAUUACUGGGCGUAAAGGGCGCGUAGGCGCCUUCUAAGUCGAACGUGAAAUCCCCGGGCUCAACCCGGGAACUGCGUCCGAUACUGGAAGGCUUGAAUCCGGGGAGAGGGAUGUGGAAUUCCAGGUGUAGCGGUGAAAUGCGUAGAUAUCUGGAGGAACACCGGUGGCGAAGGCGACAUCCUGGACCGGUAUUGACGCUGAGGCGCGGAAA